rnacentral:snoRNA from 1 species
CAGCAGGCCUCCAGUGUGCCUGGGCUGGGGUGGCCCUGCGCUUCCCUACAGUGCUCACGAGGACAUCAUGAAGCAGUUGGAGGCCUUGCUCUGUUCCAUAUAGACAAGAUUAUAGAGAUUCCAGACAACU